UACGAAGGGGGCUAGCGUUGCUCGGAAUGACUGGGCGUAAAGGGCGCGUAGGCGGUGCAUUUGGUCAGGCGUGAAAUUUCUGGGCUUAACCUGGGGACUGCGUCUGAUACUGGAUGGCUUGAGAUUGGGAGAGGGAUGCGGAAUUCCAGGUGUAGCGGUGAAAUGCGUAGAUAUUGCUCGGAAGGCCAGAGCCGAAGGGGCCCUACUGGUGCGCAACUGACACUGAGGCACGAAAGCGUGGGGAGCAAACAGG
rnacentral:rRNA from 1 species